GGUUAAGUUAGAAAGGGCGCACGGUGGAUGCCUUGACACUAGGAGUCGAUGAAGGACGGGACUAACGCCGAUAUGCUUCGGGGAGCUGUAAGUAAGCUUUGAUCCGAAGAUUUCCGAAUGGGGAAACCCACCAUACGUAAUGGUAUGGUAUCCUUAUCUGAAUACAUAGGGUAAGGAAGACAGACCCAGGGAACUGAAACAUCUAAGUACCUGGAGGAAGAGAAAGCAAAUGCGAUUUCCUGAGUAGCGGCGAGCGAAACGGAACAUAGCCCAAACCAAGAGGCUUGCCUCUUGGGGUUGUAGGACAUUCUAUACGGAGUUACAAAGGAACGAGGUAGACGAAGCGACCUGGAAAGGUCCGUCGUAGAGGGUAACAACCCCGUAGUCGAAACUUCGUUCUCUCUUGAAUGUAUCCUGAGUACGGCGGAACACGUGAAAUUCCGUCGGAAUCUGGGAGGACCAUCUCCCAAGGCUAAAUACUCCCUAGUGAUCGAUAGUGAACCAGUACCGUGAGGGAAAGGUGAAAAGCACCCCGGAAGGGGAGUGAAAGAGAUCCUGAAACCGUGUGCCUACAAAUAGUCAGAGCCCGUUAACGGGUGAUGGCGUGCCUUUUGUAGAAUGAACCGGCGAGUUACGAUCCCGUGCGAGGUUAAGCUGAAGAGGCGGAGCCGCAGCGAAAGCGAGUCUGAAUAGGGCGUUUAGUACGUGGUCGUAGACCCGAAACCAGGUGAUCUACCCAUGUCCAGGGUGAAGUUCAGGUAACACUGAAUGGAGGCCCGAACCCACGCACGUUGAAAAGUGCGGGGAUGAGGUGUGGGUAGCGGAGAAAUUCCAAUCGAACCUGGAGAUAGCUGGUUCUCCCCGAAAUAGCUUUAGGGCUAGCCUUAAGUGUAAGAGUCUUGGAGGUAGAGCACUGAUUGGACUAGGGGUCCUCAUCGGAUUACCGAAUUCAGUCAAACUCCGAAUGCCAAUGACUUAUCCUUAGGAGUCAGACUGCGAGUGAUAAGAUCCGUAGUCAAAAGGGAAACAGCCCAGACCGCCAGCUAAGGUCCCAAAGUGUGUAUUAAGUGGAAAAGGAUGUGGAGUUGCUUAGACAACUAGGAUGUUGGCUUAGAAGCAGCCACCAUUUAAAGAGUGCGUAAUAGCUCACUAGUCGAGUGACUCUGCGCCGAAAAUGUACCGGGGCUAAAUACACCACCGAAGCUGCGGAUUGAUACCGAAUGGUAUCAGUGGUAGGGGAGCGUUCUAAGGACAGUGAAGUCAGACCGGAAGGACUGGUGGAGUGCUUAGAAGUGAGAAUGCCGGUAUGAGUAGCGAAAGACGGGUGAGAAUCCCGUCCACCGAAUGCCUAAGGUUUCCUGAGGAAGGCUCGUCCGCUCAGGGUUAGUCAGGACCUAAGCCGAGGCCGACAGGCGUAGGCGAUGGACAACAGGUUGAUAUUCCUGUACCACCUCUUUAUCGUUUGAGCAAUGGAGGGACGCAGAAGGAUAGAAGAAGCGUGCGAUUGGUUGUGCACGUCCAAGCAGUUAGGCUGAUAAGUAGGCAAAUCCGCUUAUCGUGAAGGCUGAGCUGUGAUGGGGAAGCUCCUUAUGGAGCGAAGUCUUUGAUUCCCCGCUGCCAAGAAAAGCUUCUAGCGAGAUAAAAGGUGCCUGUACCGCAAACCGACACAGGUAGGCGAGGAGAGAAUCCUAAGGUGUGCGAGAGAACUCUGGUUAAGGAACUCGGCAAAAUGACCCCGUAACUUCGGGAGAAGGGGUGCUUUCUUAACGGAAAGCCGCAGUGAAUAGGCCCAAGCGACUGUUUAGCAAAAACACAGCUCUCUGCGAAGCCGUAAGGCGAAGUAUAGGGGGUGACACCUGCCCGGUGCUGGAAGGUUAAGGAGAGGGGUUAGCGUAAGCGAAGCUCUGAACUGAAGCCCCAGUAAACGGCGGCCGUAACUAUAACGGUCCUAAGGUAGCGAAAUUCCUUGUCGGGUAAGUUCCGACCCGCACGAAAGGUGUAACGAUUUGGGCACUGUCUCAACCAGAGACUCGGUGAAAUUAUAGUACCUGUGAAGAUGCAGGUUACCCGCGACAGGACGGAAAGACCCCGUGGAGCUUUACUGUAGCCUGAUAUUGAAUUUUGGUACAGUUUGUACAGGAUAGGCGGGAGCCAUUGAAACCGGAGCGCUAGCUUCGGUGGAGGCGCUGGUGGGAUACCGCCCUGACUGUAUUGAAAUUCUAACCUACGGGUCUUAUCGACCCGGGAGACAGUGUCAGGUGGGCAGUUUGACUGGGGCGGUCGCCUCCUAAAGUGUAACGGAGGCGCCCAAAGGUUCCCUCAGAAUGGUUGGAAAUCAUUCGUAGAGUGCAAAGGCAUAAGGGAGCUUGACUGCGAGACCUACAAGUCGAGCAGGGACGAAAGUCGGGCUUAGUGAUCCGGUGGUUCCGCAUGGAAGGGCCAUCGCUCAACGGAUAAAAGCUACCCCGGGGAUAACAGGCUUAUCUCCCCCAAGAGUCCACAUCGACGGGGAGGUUUGGCACCUCGAUGUCGGCUCAUCGCAUCCUGGGGCUGUAGUCGGUCCCAAGGGUUGGGCUGUUCGCCCAUUAAAGCGGUACGCGAGCUGGGUUCAGAACGUCGUGAGACAGUUCGGUCCCUAUCCGUCGUGGGCGUAGGAAAUUUGAGAGGAGCUGUCCUUAGUACGAGAGGACCGGGAUGGACGCACCGCUGGUGUACCAGUUGUUCUGCCAAGGGCAUAGCUGGGUAGCUAUGUGCGGAAGGGAUAAGUGCUGAAAGCAUCUAAG
rnacentral:rRNA from 1 species